GCUCUAGGUCCUCGUACAGAUCACUGGGUUUCCUUAUUCUAUGCAGCCGGAGGACAGGAGCUCUGAACCCUCAGUUUCCUUCCAGAAAAGAUCCUUCAUUACUUCUGUAGGACGAGAGCUCACUGUAAACAUGGUUGAUAGAAGCAUUGCACUGGAGGCUCUGGGAGCACUCUGCACUGGCAACGUGACGUCUGUCCAGCAACAAGCAUCACCAGCUGGUUUGUCCAGAAGGAACGUUCAAGCGGGACCACGGCAGAAUCUGUCCAUCAAGCUUCUCAUCCCGACUGUCAUUGAUGGAGAUGAACACUCGUGGAGUCCAGAAGACAAGAAGGAAAACAACGCUCAUCAACCUCUCCUUCUGAUCCACAUCCUCCUGAACACGUGGACCUGCUGGCCUCUGCAGUUAACUGGACUCAUCAGGUUUCUGUCUCCAGAAACUGAUGAUCCAGUUAAGACGACAACAGAGUUUUGAAUCAGUGAAAUCUUUACUGAAUUCUGAGUAUUAUGUUUUAAAUUAUGAAAAUAUUCAGAGGAUGCUGAGGUUUUUCUGCACCUGACUGUACUUUUCAUCAUCUCUGUCUCUGCGCUCUUAUUAAUGUUUGAAUAAAUGUUAUUAU